GUGCCAGCCGCCGCGGUAAGACGUAGGGUCCAAGCGUUGUCCGGAUUUACUGGGCGUAAAGAGCGCGUAGGCGGUCUGUUAAGUGAGAAGUGAAAUCUCCAGGGCUCAACCCGGAAACUGCUUUUCAUACUGGCAGACUUGAGGGAUGCAGAGGUGAAUGGAAUUCCUGGUGUAGCGGUGAAAUGCGUUGAUAUCAGGAGGAACACCCAUGGCGAAGGCAGUUCACUGGGCAUCAUCUGACGCUGAGGCGCGAAAGCGUGGGUAGCAAACAGGAUUAGAAACCCCAGUAGUCC
rnacentral:rRNA from 1 species